GAUGAACGCUGGCGGCGUGCCUAAUACAUGCAAGUCGAGCGAACAGACGAGGAGCUUGCUCCUCUGACGUUAGCGGCGGACGGGUGAGUAACACGUGGAUAACCUACCUAUAAGACUGGGAUAACUUCGGGAAACCGGAGCUAAUACCGGAUAUAUAUUGAACCGCAUGGUUCAAUAGUGAAAGACGGUUUUGCUGUCACUUAUAGAUGGAUCCGCGCCGCAUUAGCUAGUUGGUAAGGUAACGGCUUACCAAGGCAACGAUGCGUAGCCGACCUGAGAGGGUGAUCGGCCACACUGGGACUGAGACACGGUCCAGACUCCUACGGGAGGCAGCAGUAGGGAAUCUUCCGCAAUGGGCGAAAGCCUGACGGAGCAACGCCGCGUGAGUGAUGAAGGUCUUCGGAUCGUAAAACUCUGUUAUUAGGGAAGAACAAAUGUGUAAGUAACUAUGCACGUCUUGACGGUACCUAAUCAGAAAGCCACGGCUAACUACGUG
rnacentral:rRNA from 1 species